ensembl:lncRNA
CUAAAAUGUAACUGUAUUUUGUCUCUCUAAGGAUUCAACGUCUACCUCCUUCAGGGGGCAGAGGAAAGCUCCUGAAUGAAGAACAGGAACGUGCUAUUGUCAACAUGGUGAUUGCUGACAAUGAAAUAAAACUGAAGGACAUUCAGUCCAGAGUUGUAGAGGACAACCUUGUCUUUGAGAGGAGUGGGGCAAGGACAAGGGAGAGGAGUGGGGCAAGGACAAGGGAGAGGAGUGGGGCAAGGACAAGGGAGAGGAGUGGGGCAAGGACAAGGGAGAGGAGUGGGGCAA